rnacentral:lncRNA from 1 species
CUAAAUUCCAUUAUACUUAGCAUGAUGUGACAUUAGUAUGCAAAGAGAUGAAAUUAUACUGAUAGGGCUAAUUUAAAAGAACAAUCCAAAACAACUGAUUCACACACACACACACACACACACACACACUCGGAAGUGACUGAAAAUUGAAAAAAAAUUUUAAUCUCAUUAGAUUUAUACAGUUUAUAAUAACAACAUAAUGUAAUUCUGCACCUAUUAGCUGCAGAUAAUCCCAUUACAUUUGAGGAAGGGAGGGAUGGUCACAGUUCCUCGUGGUAAGGCCAAGUCCUUGGAGCUCCUCUUGCCGUCCAUGGGCACAGAGGUUGCCUUUUCACAAGGGUCCCUGCACCCCUGGCUCUGAUGUGGUCACCCUGUUGAGAGCUACCUUCCUGACAUGUUAAUCCCCAUCUCUCCUAUGUGGAUGAUGUCACAAAGGUCACAGCACUCUGUAAGAGUUCCGGCUGCUAUAACAGAAUACUAUAGGUCGGGUGGUUUAUAAAACAAACAAACAAAAAAACCCAGGAAUUUAUUUCUCACAGUUCUGGAGGCUGGACGUCCAAGAUCAAGGUACCUGCAGAUUCUGUGUCUAGUGAGGCACUGAUUCUGGUUCACAGACAUCUCUGUCCUCACUGUGUCCUCACGUUGGUGAAGGGGUGAGCGAGUUCUCCGGGUUCUCUUCUUAAAAGGGCCCUGAUCUAAUUCACGUGGAAGCACCUUCUGACUUAAUCACCUCCCAGAGGCCUCACCUCCAAAUGCCAUCACAUUGGGGAUCAGGUUUCAACAUAGACACAGACAUUCAAGUCUGGGAGGGGGGACACAGACAUUCAAGUCUGGGAGGGGGGACACAGACAUUCAAGUCUGGGAGGGAGCAGCAUGGAGGCCUGCUUUGCUUCUGGUCUUUCAGCCUGGGAGGACGCUGCCCUCCCUUGCUUUUGCAGCUUCUUAUGGAAACUGAGACCAAUGAUUUAACAUAAUUCUUCCUAAAGGAUGAAUUCUUAGAAACAGCCUCCCAAGACUAAUUCAUGAAGAGAUUAAAAAUAUGGACAGAUAGAUUACUAAAGAGGAAAAUGAAUCAGUAAUCAAAAAUCUCCCAGCAAAAAAAGUCCAGAACCAGAUGGCUUCACUGGUAAAUUCUACCAGACAUUUAAAGAACUAACACCAAUACUUCUCGGAUUCUUCCAAAAGACAGAAGAGGAAGAAGCACUUCCAAACUCAUUUUAUGAGACCAGCAUUGCCCCCAACAAAAUCAGACAAGGAUGCCAUAAGAAAAUUAUAGGCCUAUGUUUCUGAUGAACAUAUAUGCAAAAUUCCUGAAUAAAAUAUUUACUAAAUAAAUUGAGCA